UAAGGAAUAUUGGUCAAUGCCCGGAAGGGUGAACCAGCCAUCCCGCGUGAAGGAUGAAGGGGCUCUGCCUUGUAAACUUCUUUUGAAUGGGACGAAAAAGCCUCACUUGUGAGGAACUGACGGUACCAUUAGAAUAAGCACCGGCUAACUCCGUGCCAGCAGCCGCGGUAAUACGGAGGGUGCGAGCGUUAUCCGGAAUCACUGGGUUUAAAGGGUGCGUAGGCGGCUGUAUAAGUCAGUGGUGAAAGGCUGUGGCUUAACCAUGGGAUUGCCAUUGAUACUGUACGGCUUGAAUUAGGAUGAGGUUGGCGGAAUGUGACAUGUAGCGGUGAAAUGCUUAGAUAUGUCAUGGAACAUCGAUUGCGAAGGCAGCUGACUGGACCUUAAUUGACGCUGAGGCACGAAAGCGUGGGGAGCGAACAGGAUUAGAUACCCGAGUAGUCCCUGAGCGGGCUGGCAAGGCGCAU
rnacentral:rRNA from 1 species